rnacentral:rRNA from 1 species
AUGGGCGAAAGCCUGAUGCAGCGACGCCGCGUGAGGGAUGACGGCCUUCGGGUUGUAAACCUCUUUCAGCAGGGAAGAAGCGAGAGUGACGGUACCUGCAGAAGAAGCGCCGGCUAACUACGUGCCAGCAGCCGCGGUAAUACGUAGGGCGCAAGCGUUGUCCGGAAUUAUUGGGCGUAAAGAGCUCGUAGGCGGCUUGUCGCGUCGGUUGUGAAAGCCCGGGGCUUAACCCCGGGUCUGCAGUCGAUACGGGCAGGCUAGAGUUCGGUAGGGGAGAUCGGAAUUCCUGGUGUAGCGGUGCGCUGAGGAGCGAAAGCGUGGGGAGCGAACAGGAUUAGAUACCCUGGUAGUCCACGCCGUAAACGGUGGGCACUAGGUGUGGGCAACAUUCCACGUUGUCCGUGCCGCAGCUAACGCAUUAAGUGCCCCGCCUGG